rnacentral:misc_RNA from 1 species
AGCAGCCGCGGUAAUUCCAGCUCCAAUAGCGUAUAUUAAAGUUGUUGCAGUUAAAAGCUCGUAGUUGAAUUUCGGGAUUGGCGCAUCGGUCGUGCCUCACGGGGUAUGAACUGGUGCAGUCAAUUUCUCACCUUCUGGAGAACCGCGAUGUCCUUAAUUGGAUGCCGCGGGGAACCAGGACCUUUACUUUGAAAAAUUAGAGUGUUUAAAGCAGGCAUUUUUGCUUGAAUACAUUAGCAUGGAAUAAUAAAAUAGGACGGCAUGGUUCUAUUUUGUUGGUUUCUAGGACCACCGUAAUGAUUAAUAGGGAUAGUUGGGGGGCAUUAGUAUUCAAUUGUCAGAGGUGAAAUUCUUGGAUUUAUUGAAGACUAACUACUGCGAAAGCAUUUGCCAAGGAUGUUUUCAUUAAUCAAGAACGAAAGUUAGGGGAUCGAAGACGAUCAGAUACCGUCGUAGUCUUAACCAUAAACUAUGCCGACUAGGGAAUCAGACGAUGUUAAUUUUUAAUGUACUUCGUUUG